rnacentral:rRNA from 1 species
CCAAUAGCGUAUAUUAAAGUUGUUGCAGUUAAAAAGCUCGUAGUUGAAUUUCGGGGUCAGUAGGUUGGUCAUGCCACUGGUAUGUACUGAUCUUACUGAUUCCUCCUUCCUGAUGAACCGUAAUGCCAUUAAUUUGGUGUUGCGGGGAGACUGGACUGUUACUUUGAAAAAAUUAGAGUGUUUAAAGCAGGCUAACGCUUGAAUACAUUAGCAUGGAAUAAUGAAAUAGGACGUUCGAUCCUAUUUUGUUGGUUUCUAGGAUAGACGUAAUGAUUAAUAGGGAUAGUUGGGGGCAUUAGUAUUCAAUUGUCAGAGGUGAAAGUCUUGGAUUUAUUGAAGACUAACUACUGCGAAAGCAUUUGCCAAGGAUGUUUUCAUUAAUCAAGAACGAAAGUUAGGGGAUCGAAGACGAUCAGAUACCGUCGUAGUCUUAACCAUAAACUAUGCCGACUAGGGAUCGGAUGAUGUUAAUUUUUUAAUGACUCAUUCGGCGCCUUACG